GAGGAGAGUAGACAAGGACUGAAGAAACUUUACGAGAUGACACAAGUUACGCAACUUCCUAAUAUUAUUCAGCACAGCGCAGCCCUCGGGACUGAUUUGAUGUAAAUAUGAAAGAGUGCCGCAUUAACUUUUUUUCUCAAACACAAAAGAAUGAUUUCUACAGAAACCAAAAAUAACAGUGGCUACAAAUAGAAUACUCUAAUUUAUCACAAAUAUACUCAUUAAUGAAUUUUGAAUGGUGAUUUUUUUUUUUUUUUGCCACAUUUGAAUUGGGCUGUUCGUAGACUACGUCCUUGCAGGGUGGUGCGGGGCGAGGGAUGGACAGCUGCCGUCUCUCUGUGGUUGUCUGUAGGAAAGAGUACAUGUUGCACGUCACUCGGAAAGGUAACAGAUACGGCAGUAUGUCCCUACCAUCUGUCACUAGAGCUUCACAAAUCUACACAGACAAAGGAAAACCAGGCUGCUGAGAGGGCAGUGAGGCCCCAGCCUAUUAUUGUCCUUCAGGCUUCUGGGUGAAUGCAGGGGCCCUUAUCAUCAGGCCUUAUUGCAGUGACAUAGGUUUUUUAAAGGUAGUAUUGUUGAUCAUGCAUAACCAGCAGGCCAAAGAGAAUAAGGAAGUGUAUAUAAUUGCAUUGGCAUGGGUGAUUCUCUAAUAGUAAUAAACCUUUUUUUUUUCACUUUUUGUCCAGUUUGAUUUGUUGUGCCUGAUUUUAACACGUGUCUUUUUUUUUUUAUAAAUCUCUUAAAUAAAACCAGAGAUGUGCACACUCUUGUGAACACAGACUUCUAUCCAACUCAAACUCCUGCAGAUAAGGUCCCGGGCUUAGUGGACAGGGUCGAUUUUCCAUUAUGGAAUUUCAUAAUAAAGAUAAACUGUCACAGCAAUCAAAGCAUCACUUAAGGCUGCCUUAAAGCAAAGCCAGGACCUCUGUUUUUAUCCAGCAACCUCUUCCCCAUCCCCCGAAAUAAUCACCCUCAGUCCCUCCAAACACUGCAGAUCCUCCAAGAGUUCCAUCUUUUCCUUUAUCUCUGCUUAGAAGAAAGAAAAUGAAGGAAAGAUGAGGAAGGUCAACGAUCUGUCAGCAGUAGAUAAAGAAGGGGAGAAGAAAGAAGAGAUCGAUAGGAAAUCUAAAAAAAAAAAAAAAAGUUGCAGUUUUUGGUCUCAAAGGAAAACAGGGCGACAAAAUGCUGUCAGGCUCCAAGUAUUCUCACUCUUCCUGCUGUUGCAGGUAUUGUUUUUUUUAAAUGAUUUUUUGUGUUUUAAAUAAAAAUCGUGUCAGCAGUGGACAGUCAAGCAUGUUUGUGAUUUAUGAGCUUCUCUGUGUUGUCUGUGUCUGGGUGCAAAACUGUCAGGGAAAAAGCCUCCCUUGUUCCUUUUUUGGACAGCAUUACAGGCCAACAUGUGAGAUUACAAGAUUUAAUCCCUGUGUAAUAAUCUCCAUGUUCGUGUUCG
ensembl:lncRNA